rnacentral:misc_RNA from 1 species
GAUGAAGAACGCAGCGAAAUGCGAUACGUAAUGUGAAUUGCAGAAUUCAGUGAAUCAUCGAAUCUUUGAACGCAUAUUGCGCUCUCUGGUAUUCCGGAGAGCAUGCUUGUUUGAGUAUCAGUAAACACCUCAACUCCCUUUUCUUUUUUGAAAUUGGAGCUGGACUUGAGUGAUCCCAACGCUUUCUUCCAAGAAAGUGGCGGGUUGCUUGAAAUGCAGGUGCAGCUGAACUUUUCUCUGAGCUAUAAGCAUAUCUAUUUAGUCUGCCUAAAAAACAGAUUAUUACCUUUGCUGCAGCUAACAUAAAGGAGACUAGUUCUUGUGCUGACUGAUGCAGGAUUCACAGAGACAGCUUCGGCUGACUUUGUAAACUCGAUCUCAAAUCAAGUAAGACUACCCGCUGAACUUAAGCAUAUCAAAAGCGGAGGA